AGCGAACGCUGGCGGCAGGCCUAACACAUGCAAGUCGAACGGACCUUUCGGGGUUAGUGGCGGACGGGUGAGUAACACGUGGGAACGUGCCUUUAGGUUCGGAAUAGCUCCUGGAAACGGGUGGUAAUGCCGAAUGUGCCCUUCGGGGGAACGAUUUAUCGCCUUUAGAGCGGCCCGCGUCUGAUUAGCUAGUUGGUGAGGUAAUGGCUCACCAAGGCGACGAUCAGUAGCUGGUCUGAGAGGAUGACCAGCCACAUUGGGACUGAGACACGGCCCAAACUCCUACGGGAGGCAGCAGUGGGGAAUCUUGCGCAAUGGGCGAAAGCCUGACGCAGCCAUGCCGCGUGGAUGAUGAAGGUCUUAGGAUUGUAAAAUCCUUUCACCGGUGAAGAUAAUGACUGUAGCCGGAGAAGAAGCCCCGGCUAACUUCGUGCCAGCCGCCGCGGUAACAC
rnacentral:rRNA from 1 species